rnacentral:rRNA from 1 species
CCGGCCACACUGGGACUGAGACACGGCCCAGACUCCUACGGGAGGCAGCAGUGGGGAAUAUUGCGCAAUGGGCGGAAGCCUGACGCAGCGACGCCGCGUGGGGGAUGACGGCCUUCGGGUUGUAAACCUCUUUCGCCAGGGACGAAGAGUGAUUGACGGUACCUGGAGAAGAAGCACCGGCCAACUACGUGCCAGCAGCCGCGGUAACACGUAGGGUGCGAGCGUUGUCCGGAAUUAUUGGGCGUAAAGAGCUCGUAGGCGGUGUGUCGCGUCGGCCGUGAAAACUUGGGGCUUAACUCUGAGCGUGCGGUCGAUACGGGCAUCACUUGAGUUCGGCAGGGGAGACUGGAAUUCCUGGUGUAGCGGUGAAAUGCGCAGAUAUCAGGAGGAACACCGGUGGCGAAGGCGGGUCUCUGGGCCGAUACUGACGCUGAGGAGCGAAAGCGUGGGGAGCGAACAGGAUUAGAUACCCUGGUAGUCCACGCCGUAAACGUUGGGCGCUAGGUGUGGGGACCAUUCCACG